rnacentral:rRNA from 1 species
UACGGAGGGGGCUAGCGUUGUUCGGAUUUACUGGGCGUAAAGCGCACGUAGGCGGUUUGUUAAGUGAGAGGUGAAAUCCCAGAGCUCAACUCUGGAACUGCCUUUCAUACUGGCAAGCUAGAGUCCGGAAGAGGUAAGUGGAACUCCUAGUGUAGAGGUGGAAUUCGUAGAUAUUAGGAAGAACACCGGUGGCGAAGGCGGCUCACUGGCUCAUUACUGACGCUCAGGCGCGAUAGCGUGGGGAUCAAACAGG